rnacentral:misc_RNA from 1 species
AUUUCAUAAUGGUGGAUCCAUGGGAGGCAAACCAAAGUACCUACCAACGCACUUUGACUAUCUUGAAAAGAAUUGAGAGUUACUUUAUUGAUAAUAAACGACUGAUAUCCAGGGAAUUCCUCAGGGUCAUGCUUGUUUGUGGUUCUGAUUUACUCCAAUCAUUUAGCAUACCUGGAUUUUGGAUUACUGAGCAGGUAAGGACUAUAUGCAGAGAAUAUGGCGUGGUUUGCAUUUGCAGAGAAGGUCAGGAGGUUGAGAAAAUCAUAUCUGAUAAUGAAAUCCUGAAUGAAAACAGGAGUAACAUCAAAG